UACGUAGGGUGCAAGCGUUUGUCCGGAAUUAUUGGGCGUAAAGAGCUCGUAGGCGGUUUGUCGCGUCUGCUGUGAAAACCCGAGGCUCAACCUCGGGCCUGCAGUGGGUACGGGCAGACUAGAGUGCGGUAGGGGAGAUUGGAAUUCCUGGUGUAGCGGUGGAAUGCGCAGAUAUCAGGAGGAACACCAAUGGCGAAGGCAGAUCUCUGGGCCGUAACUGACGCUGAGGAGCGAAAGCUAGGGGAGCAAACGGG
rnacentral:rRNA from 1 species